GACGAACGCUGGCGGCGUGCUUAACACAUGCAAGUCGAACGGGAAGGCCCUGCUUUUGUGGGGUGCUCGAGUGGCGAACGGGUGCGUAACACGUGAGUAACCUGCCCUUGUCUUUGGGAUAACUUCAGGAAACUGGGGCUAAUCUCGUAUAGGAUCUCCUGUUGCGUGGUGGGGGUUGGAAAGUUGCGGCGGUUGGGGAUGGACUAGCGGCUUAUGAGCUUGCUGGUGGGGUAGUGGAUUACCCAGGCAGUGGAGGGUAGCCGGCCUGGGAGGGUGAACGGCGACAUUGGGACUAAGGGAGGGCCCAGACGCCAACGGUGGGCAGCGGGGGGGAAUAUUACACAAUGGGCGGGAGCCUGAUGCAGCAACGCUGCGUGCGGGAUGACGGCCUUCGGGUUGUAAACCGCUGUCGCCUGUGACGAAGCGGGAGUGACGGUAAUGGGUAAAGAAGCACCGGCUAACUACGUG
rnacentral:rRNA from 1 species